rnacentral:rRNA from 1 species
UACGUAGGGGGCAAGCGUUGUCCGGAUUUAUGGUGCGUAAAGAGCGUGUAGGCGGCCAUCAGGUCCGUUGUGAAAACUGGAGGCUUAACCUCCAGACGUCGAGUGAAACCGUCUGGCUAGAGUCCGGAAGAGGAGAGUGGAAUUCCUGGUGUAGCGGUGAAAUGCGCAGAUAUCAGGAGGAACACCGGUGGCGAAGGCGGAUCUCUGGGCCGAUACUGACGCUGAGGAGCGAAAGCGUGGGGAGCGAACAGG